GACGAACGCUGGCGGCGUGCUUAACACAUGCAAGUCGAACGGAAAGGCCCUGCUUUUGUGGGGUGCUCGUGUGGCGAACGGGUGAGUAACACGUGAGUAACCCGCCCUUGACUGUGGGAUAACUUCAGGGAACUGGGGCUAAUACCGGAUAGGAGCGCCUGCUGCAUGGGGGGGGUUGGAAAGUUUCGGCGGUUGGGGAUGGACUCGCGGCUUAUCAGCUGGUUGGUCGGGGAGUGGCAUACCAGGGGUUUGACGGGUAGCCCGCAUGAGAGGGUGACCGCGCACAUUAGUCCUGCGAUACGCACCAGACUGCUACGGGAGGCAGUGGUGGCAACUCUUGCCCAAUGAGCGGGAGCCUGAUGCGGAAGCCCCGCGUGCGGAAUGACGGCCUUCGGGUUGUGAACCGCUUUCGCCUGUGACGAAGCGUGAGUGACGGUACUGGGUAAAGAAGCACCGGCUAACUACGUG
rnacentral:rRNA from 1 species